GACGUAGGGGGCCAGCGUUGCUCGGAAUUACUGGGUGUAAAGGGUUCGUAGGCGGUGUGGCAAGUCGGGAGUGAAAUCUCUGGGCUCAACCCAGAGUCUGCUUCCGAAACUGCUGUGCUUGGGUGUGGGAGAGGCGCGUGGAAUUGCAGGUGUAGCGGUGAAAUGCGUAGAUAUCUGCAGGAACACCCGUGGCGAAAGCGGCGCGCUGGACCACUACUGACGCUGAGGAACGAAAGCUAGGGGAGCAAACAGG
rnacentral:rRNA from 1 species